rnacentral:lncRNA from 1 species
ACUUGUACAUGAGACGCUAUCUCAAAGAAAUACGAUAGAAGCUGAAAAUCGCGAUGUCACAAAGGAGGAAGCCAUUCCUUUAUUUGGAAAACCCGAGUCAGCAUAUUACUUUUAGAGCAAGGCUACCACCUAGUGGUCUUCAUUUAUAACGACUGGCUGCAGCUACAGAUUUUGCAAAAAGAUACCCACGAGGAAAAAUAACACUCACUCUGCUUCUGCUUCUUGCUAACGGCAUCAGUCUUUGAACAAGAAAAGCUCAUAUAUCAACAGAAGAAAUUUUGAAUCAAACAAAGACUUAUUUGAAUUUAUGUAUAGCUGGCAUAACAGCUGCUGAAUAAUAUACAAAAUUACAAUACAAUUGGUUUGUAGAAGCCAAAUUGUGGAGACGCCAACUGCUGGAGACGUGUCUUGUUAAGAGAGAAUCACAAACCCAGGAGUCUGUGUUACAGUCCCUCUGUUUGACAUGCAUGAGGUUACUGGGUACUGCUGUUUUCUGGCAGCAAUACUCUGACACAAAUAAGAAGCAUGGCAAACAGUUGAUUGUCUUCGCUGAUGCUAAAGUUUGUUCAAUAUAGACUUCUAGGAAGCAUCUGGAGUUUCCACACUGAAGAGACUAUUUUUCUGGCAUGUGCCAAGACACUGAAAGUAAUGCUGCCUUGGGGAAAGGAUCACAGAUGCUCCCUGAUUUCUCACUGAGGUAAGUUUGUCACCAGUCUCCAGAUCUGCUAUCAUUCUUUGCUGUCAGAAUCUUUUGAGAGAGAACUGGAGAGGUCUGUGUUGUUCUGGUCCACAUCCCCUUAACAUGUUAGGCUGAGGAAAAUGGGAUUUUGAAAUGGAAGGACUAAGCCUGCCAUUAGUCUUUGUUUCUUCUUAUGAUACAAAACACUAGUUAUCAGAUCAACAUUGCUUUCAGCAGGCUGUGUACAUACUCAGAAGUAAAAACUCUGCUUCUGUUGUCUGGGAAAGAAAUGCCUGUAUAUUGCAAAUGACUGAUAAUUGAAUAACUUCAAAUAUGUGCUAUUUUGUUAUGUCCACAGGAACAUUUUAAAUAAGAUUCUGUUCUAUUGUUUCUGAAUUUCAUUGUAGAGGGCUGGUGCUUUCAGUGGAAAGUAAAUGAGGCUGACAGCACUUCUAGUGUUCAGAAAAACAUGUGCAAGCUGUUCAAGGAUGUGUAAAAAUGCAGAUUGACAUAAAUUGAGUCACUAUGAUAGAAACCAUUCAUGCAAAGACAGCAGUAAUGCCAUGAUAAAAAGUAGAGUGAAUAUGGGGGAAUUACUAUUUUAUUGAUAGUGAGUCACA